rnacentral:misc_RNA from 1 species
GGGGCAACCAACAGCUAGUGCUCUGGCAGCAAGAAUGUACGAGGAGCGCAUGAAGAACCCUAAUUUAGUAGAUUCAGAGACAUCCCAACCACUGCUUGAUGCGAGGAUGGCCCUGAAACCAGCUACAAAUCAUCCAGGACAGAUAGGAAACCCUGGAAGUGUGAAUGCAGCAUUGCAACAGAUCCAGGCCCGAGGUCAGCAGCCCACGGAUAUUAAACCAGAGGUCAGUAUUGGUGGUACUCAAA